rnacentral:rRNA from 1 species
GUAAAACCAGCUCUCCGAGUGGUAGGGAUGAUUAUUGGGCUUAAAGCGUCCGUAGCCGGCCUGGUAAGUCUUCCGUUAAAUCCAGCGUGCCAAGCGUUGGGCUGCGGGGGAUACUGCUAGGCUAGGGAGCGGGAGAGGCCGACGGUACUCUCGGGGUAGGGGUAAAAUCCUAUAAUCCCGGGAGGACCACCAGUGGCGAAGGCGGUCGGCUAGAACGCGUCCGACGGUGAGGGACGAAAGCUGGGGGAGCGAACCGGAUUAGAUACCCGGGUAGUCCCAGCUGUAAACGAUGCAGGCUAGGUGUUGGGGCGGCUACGAGCCGGUUCAGUGCCGCAGGGAAGCCGUUAAGCCUGCCGCCUGGGGAGUACGGUCGCAAGGCUGAAACUUAAAGGAAUUGGCGGGGGAGCACCACAAGGCGUGAAGCCUGCG